rnacentral:rRNA from 1 species
UACGUAGGGGGCAAGCGUUGUCCGGAUUUAUUGGGCGUAAAGAGCGUGUAGGCGGCCGUACAGGUCAGCUGUGAAAACUCGAGGCUCAACCUCGAGACGUCGGUUGAAACCGUACGGCUAGAGUCCGGAAGAGGAGAGUGGAAUUCCCGGUGUAGCGGUGAAAUGCGCAGAGUAUCGGGAGGAACACCAAUUGCGAAGGCAGCUCGCUGGGACGUUACGUGACGCUGAGAGCGAAAGCGUGGGAUAGCAAAGAGG